GAUACACCACGCGGUCCGCGUUCUGUUCGAGCUUACCUCUAGCCCCUCGCUCCCGUACCCGAUCUCGCUUUUUUUGCCCUAGCUCUGCGAUCGAAUUCCCAUACCCACGCCUCCUCUGCCCUUCUCCUCUCGCUGUAAGUUAUCGCUCUCUCUCGUUCUCCCUCAUCAGCGCCUCACUCGCCUGCCCUUCUCCGCUCUCUUUCACUUGAUGUUCCGGUUACUCUCUGAAUUGUGGUUCUUUUUUAGCAUGCUUUUGGGGAAAUGGCUGUUAGUAUGUGCCACAAAUGGUUCUAGCUCAUGAUAUCAAUGAUAAUGCUAUGGUUGAUGGUUGAGUGAUGGUUAGCAAGAGUUGGUAAAUACCAUCAAAGACUCACAAGGAUUGCAUAAAAAAUAUGUUAAUAGCUUCUAGCUUGAGCAUUUGAGCUUGUUUUAACAUUGGAUUCGUUACUGGUUUCAAAUUAUUUCGCCACCGCGUUGGAAUUUUUUUGCCCCUGUGUUCGAUCAACAGGUUUGGUGAUGCCUUUGUUGUGAAUAUGAUGGGUAGCUGAGGCCUUUUCUUUGCAAGAAUUGUGGUUUUUUUUGCAUGCUUUUGGGGAAAUGGCUGUCUGUAUCUGCCAAAUAUGGGCCUAGCUCAUGGUAUCAGUGAUAUUGCUAUGAUGAUUGCUUUGGUUUUAUGGUUUCUUCAGUAUUUCCAUUUGGUUUAA